rnacentral:rRNA from 1 species
UACAGGGGGGUGCAAACGUUGCUCGGAAUCAUUGGGCGUAAAGCGCGCGUAGGUGGCUUCGUAAGUCCGUUGUGAAAGUCAAAGGCUCAACCUUUGAAAGCCGAUGGAUACUGCGGAGCUAGAGUACGGAAGAGGCGAGUGGAAUUCCUGGUGUAGCGGUGGAAUGCGCAGAUAUCAGGAGGAACACCAAUAGCGAAGGCAGCUCGCUGGGACGUUACUGACACUGAGGCGCGAAAGCGUGGGGAGCGAACAGG